AGAGUCCGCGCGCAUCGCCCGGCUCCGCGGCGCCAGCCAUGGCGUCCGUGCGUGGCCCCGCCAGGGAUGGGGCGACGCGGUCAGAGCCGCACGCGACCGAAAUCCGCACUCUGGAGCCGCAGAGCGCGCGGUCUUGCUGUUUAGCGGCUCCCUGGCAAGUGACGUGGGGAAGAAACGCAGGGCGCAGGAGAGACAGCUGGAAAGGUUUGCGGUGUAGCUGGCCCAGGAUUGAGGGUCUGGAGGUCGGGUGUUGGAAGACCUUGAGCGAGGCACUUCUUGGCCUCCCCAGCUGGGAGGCAUCGCUGAAAAAUUAGGUGACCCCCAAGACGGUAGACCAGCAGAGUCAGCGUCACCUGGGCGCCGGUUGGAAAUGCAGAUUGGCAGGUCCCACCCCCAACCCCUCCCGACUUGCUGAGUCAGCAUCUCUGGGGGUGGGGCUCGCGCGCCCCCAGCGGGACGCCGGUGCGCGCAGUAGCUUAAGAAGCUGGGUCCAAGGCGCUGGUUCUCAAACUCCGCUGCAUAUUGCAAUCACCUGGGAGCUUUUUAACCUCCAAACGCCCAGGCUGCCCCCGGACCAAAUGACAGAAUCUCCGGGGCUGGGGGGGACGGGGAUAGAGAAGCCCAGACCUAAGUAUUUUUUUAAGCUCUUAAAGCGAUUCCAGUGUGCUGUGAAGGUUGGACCCACGGUGUGGUCUCUGGACAAAGCAGCCCCCACUCCAGACCUACCGAACCAGGGAAUCUGCAUUUUAACAGGAUCCCCAAGUGACUUGCAGGCGCCUUCGGUUUGGGAGAAACAACUCUAAGGUGUCUUCUGACAUUAACAAUCUGUGAUUUUGUGAAAUCUGUCUCGUUUUGUUUAGCGGGCUAGCCAGGCCCCGUUUUCUUCAGCUUCUCCCUUGACUUGAUCCCUGAAGAUGGCUCUGCCUCUGGCGCCCUUGAAAUAUGUCGACUAGGUCAUGAUCACCGUGCAUUCUGCUCAGCGUAGUCUCCCCGCCUGAAGUGUUAUUAAUGCAGUCUAAAAUGACUACGGUUCUGCGGUCUACCGAACUGCCCACGGAGGUAGGGGUUUCAGACUUUUGGCAUCUCAAGAGACUUGAGAUUACCGAGACCACGAUACCCCCAGAGACGUGACGAGAUGGGAUCAAGGCCACGGGGGACCAGAAUGCUGACCCAGGCAACCUGUCCCUGCCUCGCUGCCCUUUGUAAUACUCCUUAUCAUAUCAUGAGGAGCUAUUUUCCGUUCUCCACAAACUUGGUGGUGGAUGGAAGAGGAUAUCAAGCUCACCUUGAGUGGGAUUGAGGUAGGAGGCGGGGCUCAGACACCAGACCAGAUUGAGGACAAACUAAAGCAAGGUCAGGGCCAAAGCAGCUUUCCAACAGAUAGGACCACCAGGGUGCCACGUCAGUUUACCGUUGCCAUGUCAAUACCAGGGAGUUACCGCCCCUUUCCGUGGCAGUAACCCAAUAAUUACCACCCCUUCCCUAGAAAUUUCUGCAUAAACCGCCCCUUAAUCUGUAUGCAAUUAAAAGUGUGUGUGUGUGAGUGUGUGUGUGUGUGUGUGUGUGUGUAUGUGUGUGUGUGUGUGUAUAUAUAUAUAUAUAUAUAUAUAUAUAUAUAUAUAUAUAUAUAUAUAUAUAUAUAAAACUGCAAAACUGCCCUGAGCUGCUCCUCUCUGCCUAUGGGGGAGCCCUGCUCUGCAGGAGCAGUCACGGAGCUGUAACCCUGCCUCUUCAAUAAAGCUGUUUUCUUCUACCUCUGGCUUGCCCUUGAAUUCUUUCCUGGGCAAAGCCAAGAACCCUCCUGGUGGAAGCUCCACUUUGGGGCUCACCUGCCCUGCAUCAGGAUUACAGGUGGGAGCGUUGCGGAGUAGAGCGAUCCGCUGACACUGCCUCUGGUCUGCAUUGGGGAAUGGCGGCCGGUCGGGCGGGGUCACAGACCAUAGCUUCAAGCUUUGUUCUUGGGGAUUCCAGGGACUGAAAAGUGGGUGCUUUCUGGCUACCUAGCAUCCACUUCCUCUCUUCCCCAUGCAAAGAGGCUGAAGUGAAUGGCGUCAGUCCUCGCCCUCCUCAGUCAAGGGGCAGACACUAUCUGAGAUUUAAAUCCUGUCCCCACUAGCAGAGGCCCUCUGAGGCCAGUCCCGCCCAGGGACACUGCCAAGGGCUUCCUGGCUCUAGGACCGCCUUGGGUUUCUGCCCCUUCAGGCUGCUUCUCCAGUCCUCCCAGUGAGCCUGUGUCCUCCUCAGACCCUUUGGCUUCUGUCUGCAAAGUAAGUUUCUGUCCUAACUUAGGGAGUGAUAAUAUUCAGAAUUUCUCUCCAUUUUCACGGUUGAGAUUUUGGCGCUAAAAUCACAAACCCAAAUAAAAAAAUAAAUAAGAACAAAUAGCCUCUAGUCUAUAUUCAUAUAAAUAAAUAACUGAAUGAGUGACUAAAUGGGGGGAAAGGGCAACUCUUUUUUUUCUUCGAGGCAAGAUGUCACUCUGUCGCCCAGGCUGGAGGGCAGUGACAUGAUCUCAGCUCACUGCAGCCUGGCCGACAACUCUUUCUUGCAGAAUUCCAAUUAAUACAUAUGGAAGGAAUGAGAGACUUGGCAAAUCACCACUGAAACACUACUGCAAUCAUUGCUGCAGGCAGGGUCCCCAGAUGUGGCAAAAUUAGCUGGGAAAGCCUAAGGAGAAGCAGGAUAUUUGCAUAGUCUCAAAGCAUCUCUCCCAAAAUAGAUGUUUAUCAAUAACAAAGGGAAAAAUAGUAACUUUGCAGUGAACAAAACUGGCAUCACCACCUUAACCACGUGACCCAGGUUUACCUCUCCAGAAACGUGUUGACAGAGGAGGCGCUGGGAAGAGCGCAGCACCCCGGAGGUUUUCCUGCCCAACAAUGCACAAUCUCAUUAUGAGAAAACAUUAGACAACCCAAAUGGAGGAACAUUCCUACAAGGUAACUGACCAGUACCCUUCAGAAGUCUCAAGGUCACAAAAGACAGGAAGACUGAGGAACUGUCACAGAUUAAGGAGACAAUGACUCCUGUCACGUGAAAUCCUGGAUUAGAUCUUGGGACAGAAAAAGAGCAUCAGUGGAAAAACCAGUGAAACACGAAUAAACUUUCUAGUUUAGUUCAUAGUACAGUGCCCUUUUUACUUCCUUACAGAUUACUUCUCCAUUAGAGUUGUACUACAGUUAUGUAAGAGGUUAAUAUAAGGGGGCACUGGGUGAAGGGUUCAAAGGAACUCUACUAUUUUUGCAACCUUGUCUGUCUAAAAUGAUGUUGGCCAGGCAUGGUGGCUCAAGCCUGUAAUCCCAACACUGGGAGGCUGAGGCAAGUGGAUCACUUGAGGUCAGGAGUUUGAGACCAGCCUGGCCAACAUGGUGAAACCCUGUCUCUACUAAAAAAAAAAAAAAAAAAAAUUAGUCAGGCUUAGUGCCACGUGCCUGCAAUCCCAGCUACUUGGGAGGCUGAGGCAUGAGAAUCGCUUGAACCUGGGAGGCAGAGGUUGCAGUGAGCCAAGAUCGCACCACUGCACUCCAGCCUAGGUGACAGAGCAAUACUCCAUCUCAAGAAAGAAAACAAACAAAAAAGAUCUUAAAAUAAAAACUUUAAAAAGUAUCUUGAUAAGAAAAAAAAAGUAAAAUUUGUUACUUGGUAAAAAUGACUAAAGAGCUUCCUGACAAAUGUUCAUAUGUAAAAUUUCACUUGGGAAAAAUAUACUUUGUAGAAAUAAUGACCACGAAAGUAG
rnacentral:lncRNA from 10 species